UUUAUGGAGAGUUUGAUCCUGGCUCAGGAUGAACGCUGGCGGCGUGCCUAAUACAUGCAAGUCGAGCGAACGGACGAGAAGCUUACUUCUCUGAUGUUAGCGGCGGACGGGUGAGUAACACGUGGAUAACCUACCUAUAAGACUGGGAUAACUUCGGGAAAC
rnacentral:rRNA from 1 species